rnacentral:rRNA from 1 species
UACAGAGGUCUCAAGCGUUGUUCGGAUUCAUUGGGCGUAAAGGGUGCGUAGGUGGCGUCGUAAGUCAGGUGUGAAAUCUCGGGGCUUAACUCCGAAACUGCGUCUGAAACUACUCGACUAGAGUACUGGAGAGGGUAACGGAAUUCACGGUGUAGCAGUGAAAUGCGUAGAUAUCGUGAGGAACACCAGAGGCGAAGGCGGUUACCUGGACAGUUACUGACGCUCAGGCACGAAAGCAUGGGGAGCAAAAGGG